rnacentral:rRNA from 1 species
CCUACGGGCGGCAGCAGUGAGGAAUAUUGGUCAAUGGACGAGAGUCUGAACCAGCCAAGUAGCGUGAAGGAUGACUGCCCUAUGGGUUGUAAACUUCUUUUAUAUGGGAAUAAAAUGUUCCACGUGUGGGGUUUUGUGUGUACCCUAUGAAUAAGCAUCGGCUAACUCCGUGCCAGCAGCCGCGGUAAUACGGAGGAUCCGAGCGUUAUCCGGAUUUAUUGGGUUUAAAGGGAGCGUAGGUGGAUUGUUAAGUCAGUUGUGAAAGUUUGCGGCUCAACCUUAAAAUUGCAGUUGAAACUGGCAGUCUUGAGUACAGGAGAGGUGGGCGGAAUUCGUGGUGUAGCGGUGAAAUGCUUAGAUAUCACGAAGAACUCCGAUUGCGAAGGCAGUUCACUGGACUGCAACUGACACUGAGGCUCGAAAGUGUGGGUAUCAAACAGGAUUAGAUACCCCAGUAGUC